UGAGGAACAUGACCUUCGGCGGGGAUAGCCGGCCCGAACGGCCGGGUAAUACCGCGUACGACCACAUGGGGACAUCCCUGAGUGGUGAAAGCAGCAAUGCGCCGAUGGAGUGCCUCGCGGCCUAUCAGCUAGUUGGUGAGGUAACGGCUCACCAAGGCGACGACGGGUAGCUGGUCUGAGAGGAUGGCCAGCCACAUUGGGACUGAGACACGGCCCAGACCUNUACCGGGAGG
rnacentral:rRNA from 1 species